rnacentral:lncRNA from 1 species
GUGACGCACGAAGCAUGAAGCACGCGCUCCGAGAGAUCAAAAUCAUCCGGCGCCUGGACCACGACAACAUCGUCAAAGUGUACGAGGUACUGGGACCCAAGGGUAGCGAUCUGCAGGGCGAGCUCUUUAAGUUCAGCGUGGCUUAUAUUGUCCAAGAGUACAUGGAGACUGACCUGGCAUGCCUGCUAGAGCAGGGCACGCUGACCGAGGAGCACGCUAAGCUAUUCAUGUACCAGCUGCUGCGUGGGCUCAAGUACAUCCACUCUGCCAACGUGUUGCA